rnacentral:rRNA from 1 species
GAUGAACGCUGGCGGCGUGCCUAAUACAUGCAAGUCGAGCGAACGGACGAGAAGCUUGCUUCUCUGAUGUUAGCGGCGGACGGGUGAGUAACACGUGGAUAACCUACCUAUAAGACUGGGAUAACUUCGGGAAACCGGAGCUAAUACCGGAUAAUAUUUUGAACCGCAUGGUUCAAAAGUGAAAGACGGUCUUGCUGUCACUUAUAGAUGGAUCCGCGCUGCAUUAGCUAGUUGGUAAGGUAACGGCUUACCAAGGCAACGAUGCAUAGCCGACCUGAGAGGGUGAUCGGCCAUACUGGAACUGAGACACGGUCCAGACUCCUACGGGAGGCAGCAGUAGGGAAUCUUCCGCAAUGGGCGAAAGCCUGACGGAGCAACGCCGCGUGAGUGAUGAAGGUCUUCGGAUCGUAAAACUCUGUUAUUAGGGAAGAACAUAUGUGUAAGUAACUGUGCACAUCUUGACGGUACCUAAUCAGAAAGCCACGGCUAACUACGUG